UCCUGUUCCCAGAAGACCAACAGAUAGAGCUUGAGUACUGGGCUGAGACUGGGGAGUUCAGCACUACAGAGCUCCACCACAUGAAGGUGCAGGAUAACAGGCUGUUUAAUAUAGCACCCCGCUCUGGUAAACUACACCCAGGACAGCAGAAGGCAGUGACAUUUAGCUACAGACAUGACUUUGUUGGUACUGACCGUCUCCCAGUCCUGUUCAAGCUGUCUCACGGCAGAGAGAUUCUGUUGAAUUUCAUAGGAGUGACGGUGGAGAGAGAC